rnacentral:tRNA from 1 species
GGACGAGUAGGAAAGCGGCUGAAUCCACCUCCCUGCUAAGGAGACGUACUGGUAACGGUACCGAGAGUUCGAAUCUCUCCUCGUCCGCCA